ensembl:piRNA 21ur-4311 ncRNA
UAGUUCGUUUGUAUGUGUUGU